UAAGCUUUUCAGGGUCUUCAAGACUCAGUGUUUUAGUUCUUGGUUGAUGAAGGUGUUCUUGGAAGCAAGCUAGUAACUUGUCUAAAGGAGAAAGGAGAAGAGAGUUGUUCUUCAUCUUCAACUAGGCUAAGGUGAGGGUGGUAUUUGCGGAUAUGCAGUAAACUUUUUCCUUCUAUACUCUUUGAUAGUUACUGGGUAUAGGCUCGAGAAUUGUCCUUGUUGAUUUAUGUGAAUUUGUGUGAAGUUAGGUUUUUAGUAACAUGAUAUUUGAAAUGCAUUGGUAACAUGAUUUGAUAUAUUUAAUAUAUAUUAAAUUACAAAAUUAUUAUGUAUAUGAGAACAUAAAACUAAAAAGUAUGGAAAAGAUAUUUAAGGAUGUUGGACUGUAAUGGGGCCGACGGGUCCGUUUCAGGUCAUUAACCACUGACUAGCAAUGAGAGGAAGGAUCGAGUUACGGACCGUGGUCUUGCAGAAAAUAGGCUUGAGUAGCCA
rnacentral:lncRNA from 1 species